UACGAAGGGGGCUAGCGUUGCUCGGAAUCACUGGGCGUAAAGCGCACGUAGGCGGCUUGUUAAGUCAGGGGUGAAAUCCUGGAGCUCAACUCCAGAACUGCCUUUGAUACUGGCGAGCUUGAGUCCGGGAGAGGUGAGUGGAACUGCGAGUGUAGAGGUGAAAUUCGUAGAUAUUCGCAAGAACACCGGUGGCGAAGGCGGCAUUCUGGACCGAUAUUGACGCUGAGGAGCGAAAGCCAGGGGAGCAAACGGG
rnacentral:rRNA from 1 species